AGAGCGAACGCUGGCGGCAGGCUUAACACAUGCAAGUCGAGCGGGCGUAGCAAUACGUCAGCGGCAGACGGGUGAGUAACGCGUGGGAACGUACCUUUGGUUCGGAACAACACAGGGAAACUUGUGCUAAUACCGGAUAAGCCCUUACGGGGAAAGAUUUAUCGCCGAAAGAUCGGCCCGCGUCUGAUUAGCUAGUUGGUGAGGUAACGGCUCACCAAGGCGACGAUCAGUAGCUGGUCUGAGAGGAUGAUCAGCCACAUUGGGACUGAGACACGGCCCAAACUCCUACGGGAGGCAGCAGUGGGGAAUAUUGGACAAUGGGCGCAAGCCUGAUCCAGCCAUGCCGCGUGAGUGAUGAAGGCCCUAGGGUUGUAAAGCUCUUUUGUGCGGGAAGAUAAUGACGGUACCGCAAGAAUAAGCCCGGCUAACUUCGUGCCGAGCAGCCGC
rnacentral:rRNA from 1 species